AUUCCUUUAUUUAUAAUGUCUGAGGCCCUGAUCCUGUAAUAUAUGGAAAAAGAUGUCCUCAACCAAGUAUAUAAAGUGAAUGUAACCACAAGAUAUUCUAAAAAUCCAUUUUAUCCAAGGUUGGCAAUUUCCUUAGAAAAACUAAUUUACGACAGGAUGUUGGUAAAUACCAGAUUAACCCUGGUUUAGACCAGGAAAUUGGGAAAAAUAAUUGCUUCAGUGGCCAGCAAGUGGAGAAUGAAUUUUUUCAAACUUUAGAUACAUCCAUUCAAAAUUGAGGGAUAGGUUUGGUCUGUCCACUAUAUCAAAGUUGGUCCUGUGCUACAGAAUGUUGCAUGGCCAAAUGGAUCUGGACUGCUAGUCUGAAACUGCAUGCUUCUGAUUGCUUAAUGCUUUACACUGCAGUAUUGUCGUUUUUCAUAUAAUCAAAUGUUUUGGACUUUUGUUUAUGUAAUAUUGAAAACUGAAAUGCGAGUAAUGACUUGCUUGAGAAAAUACCAAAUCAGACGUUCUAAUGUUCACGGUUAUACUGGCAUGUAUUAGUAUUAUGCUUACUGCAGUUUUACUUUUUAUUUGUAUGACUCUAAAUUAAUCGCAAAAUCUACUGCUUUAUGUAAUCAGUUUGAAUAUGCAACUAAAACUAAAUAUAUUGUGGUGUCUAUUAAAGAAGCAGUGUUAAAAAUAGAUAAUGCCUUAUACUGGCACUAACUAGCUUUUCCUGAGACAGUAAAAACCAUGAUUUUAUCUGGUAAAAACCACCUCUGGUAAAUCCCAUGCCACCCUGAUUUAUCACACCAACAUGACUAGAAGUGGUGUGCUAAAAGUAUUUUUCCAGUACUUUUAACAUGAUACAUCACUGUAAAAAUGCUUUAAUAUGCUUAUCAAAGUAAUAGUCAUGAGUAAUUAAGGGAUAAGACAUAGCUCUUUUCAUUUAGCUAUCUUUCAGUGAAAAUGUUGGCAUGAUGUCCUUGAGUAUACCUUAGGCAUUUACACCAACCCUAUUCAUUGUUAAUGUCUAAUGAGGGUCAUUUGAUCUAAAGAACAAUGAUCAUGUGUGUUCAUUUAGUUUCUUACUCAUAGCCAUGAACAGAGCAUAUUACCACUUCUAUUCUGAGAAAUCUUCACUGGUAUCUUGUUCAUUUCAGAAUCCAGUACAGAGUAUUCCUUCUAGCAGUUAUCCAGAUUCGCUGUCUUCACUUCUUCCCUCUAUCUGUUAGCACCUUACGUAUGCUCUUUAAAUUCCAUACUCUUUUAGCUUAUCCUCCCCCACAAAAACUCUACUCACUUUCCUUAACACUCCUCCUGCUAAAAGUAUCUGGAAAAGCCUGUGCCUUUUCAGAUCAUAUUUUAUUAUCUGAAACGUCUCUCGGUCCUGCAAUUUAUAACUUUUGUUUAAUACAGUAAUCUGAUUUUAUUCUGUGACACCCUCCCCUCACCCCCAUCUCUCCAGUUUUCUCAUGUUUGUUUAUUUUCCUGGGAAAUCAGCAGUUGUAUCACAUUAAUAACACACAUACAGAAUGCAAUCUAUGAUAGAUCAAAUCUGCGUUCACUGAUAUCUUCAUGCAUAGUGUAAGAAACAUUUCUGAUGGAUGAUACUCAAAAAAAAAAAUCAUUUUUAUAGCAGUAAAAUAUUCUGUCAUUAAACUAUGAACAUUAUAUUCUUUGUAAAGUGUUUGCUUGAAAACGAUACCAUCAAAUUCAUAAUCAUUUUUUAAAAUGUCAUAUUUAUUGCCAUAUUUAUUACUAAAAAUCAUCCAACAGGAAGGUUUCAUCAUUUGUAUCAUUUGUGUACUACUUGAAUUUCUUAUUCACUGCAUUUAAUGAAUCAAGUAGUAAACUUGUCACUGUUUUAAGAUUUUGUUCUCAGUCUCGUCUUACAUAUAGGCUGUCCCCGGCCAGCAUUAACCUUUCCUGCAGUUUCAUCAACACAGCUCCUUACAGGUGCCUUCCCAACUUUGACCUCUCAAAGUGUUCCAUCAUAAUCUCAGUCUUUGUGGUGAAACACUGAAUGAACUUUACCUCCUAAAUACUCUCUCCUUGGUUGUCAAAGCCCUGCACAGCUCCAUUCCUUCCUCCAUUUCUGUUCUCUCAUGUCUUAUUCUUUUGGCACUCAUUGCACUCUUUUCAAGCCUGGCUUUUAACCACCUGCUUUUUUCCUUUUCUACUCUUGUCUUCCAUGUUACCUCUGUACAUGGCAUUGCCUCUUCCUCUUUUAUGCCUAGAGGUCUCUACCUUCAACUUUUUCCUACACUAUUUCUAAGCUAUUUAAAGGUGAUCUCACAGAGAUCUGCACCAAUUUGAUUUUCAUCCAGUAUUUUACUUGAUCUGUAUUGUCUGUACUUGAAUUAGAAUUUAAACAUUUUGAUGCAUGGAUUGCAUGUAAUUAUUUAAUGAUGAAAAUAGCUUAGUGAAUUUUACUUUGAUUUAUGUGCACUAGCAUAAUUUUGUGAUGGGUGCAUUAUGAACACUGCAUAGUGUCAGGUUUUACUUAAGAGCUUUAUUUGGAUUCUUUAGGCCCAACAUUUAUGUUUUGGAAAAACUAUGGGAUCUAGACUGUUUUAGAUUGCAUCCUGUUUAAAUACUUUAACUGUGUAUAACUAGAUGCUGAUGAAAAUGAUUUAUUUGUAUUGCCGACCUACGGCACUAGGCACUGUGCAAACGUAUAGUAAAAGACAAUCCCUGCCCGAAAUAGCUCAGUUUAAUAAAACAAGAUAUGGCAGAUGAUAAAGGGAAUGGGGAAGGAGGAUGAAGGGAACAGUGAUAGGAGUGCUUGGUUACAUAGACUAGUUAAUAUACACAAUUAGAUGGUUUUGAGUCAUUCAGAGACUUUACUUCAUGUGCAUAAAUAAAGUAAAUAUUGGUAGUCCCUACUUGGCUAUACAUUAACAGUGGUAAUCUGCUGGGGUCAUGAUAGGGUUCCUGUUUGAAGUGGUCUUUGAAGCAGGAUAGAGUAGUGAGCUGACAGAUUAGUUUGGGGAUUAUAUAUAUUUCCAUACAUGGAAGAAAAUGGGGAAAAAAGGGUAGUUGUGGGUGGCAUCUUUGGCAGACGAGAAGGAAGUAUGCAGUAAGGUAUAAGUGGAUAAGUAGGAACAGUAGUAAGAUAUUGUAUGAGAGCCGUUAACAUUAAAAAUGUAAAAUACCUUAAACAGUAUUGUUAAAGUAACUAAAUUAUGUGAUCUUGUGAGACUUCUCUUUUCUGACAUGUUACUGACAAUUAUAAAUUGAGGGAACACAUACACUAUGGCAACCAAAAGUAGAGAUCUAGGAAGAUCUAUAUGUAGCAGAGUAAUAAUAUAUAAUUCGGGGUUUAUGUGAAAGAGCCAAGAGUUUGUGUUGCUGCAAGAAUUGAAUGAAUAAAACACGUUUCUCUGAAGGUUUUGUCUGUACAAUGGUCAACUCUUGAACAAUUACUGAGAGAGCUUGUUGAUUGGAAUAGGCUUCAACCCAUAAAAAGGUGCCUUUUCUUAUGAAAGUGUUUGUUUAUUGCUUUUCCCAAAACACUUACAUUAGAACAUGGAGAUUGAGAAGUAUUAGACUUACAAAACAUGCAGAUGUUAGUACCUUCCUAUCAUAUUCCACUGUAUUAUGUUUUCUUAUCUGAAAUAAAACUGUUAAAUUUAACCAUGAGGUCUCCAACUAGAAUGAAGCAUAGGAAUGGAAGCUUAAUAGGCAUUUUUAUUGAGUAUUUUGCACACUAGUCAAGAAAAAUCAGCUUCACUCUUUUAAUGCUGUGACUGGGGGCCAGCUGAGGUCACUCAAUUAGGGUGAACUGCAAAGAAUGGGGCAGACAAUCCCCAUAAAGCCGGUGGAUAUUUCAAUACUUACAUUUACCAAGCCAACAUAAAACAGCUUCUUCAUUACCUUACUGGUUACUCAGAAGUCUGAACAACACAGUUCCCUUAAAGUGAUCCAGCCUCAGGCCUCCAUCAAGGUACCUAAGUCAAAUAUGGUGAUUUCUGAAAGUAUUAUUUCAUCAUAUAAAGGAAAAGGUUCUACCAAACCCAAAGGGUCGGACACAUUACCUUCCAGUUUAAUGACUGUUUCAGAUCUUACCCAAAUAAACCCUACAACCAAUUCUUAUUAACUAAACUAAUAUUUAUUAAAAAAACAAGAGAGAGAGAGAAUGGGUACAAGAUCAAUGUACAUACAAAUGCAUGUGAGUUCAUUUCAUUGAGGUUUAGAUUCAUAGCAGAGAUGGUGAGCUUUAUAGUUGUGAAGAGUUCCUUUAGAAUUCAGUUCAAAGGUUAUAGUCCAAUGUCCAAAUCUCCUGUUCAGGACUUACCAGCAUAACUAGGACCUCAGUCUUGUGACUCAAACUUCCUCUGAUGCAGCUUAAGCAGAUCUGAGAUGACAAAAUCAGGACCCAAGGAAUUUUUAUACAAUUUCAUGUCCUCUUUGACAAGUUGAGAGUUCCUCCGGGAACAAAAGGUAAUUAGGAUGACUUUGAAUGAAGUCCAUCACUGGUACUUAGCUAUAGAAUUAACAUAAGGCAAUUUGCUUGUUCCUCCACCUUUCACAGAUUAUUUGCUAUACCUUUCAAAGGGAGAUGCAUACAAAGAUAUCCAGGGUUUACAAUUCAUUUUAAUGCUAGGAUAUUCUUUUGAUCUCUGGCUACCACUCUGCAACCUGAAUGAUCAGAAUACAGCAUAGACAGGGACUGUUGAUUUACAUUGUCAACCCUACUCAUACAUAUUUAAGUACACAAAAACACAAACAUUAUCUCCCCACAUGUCUUUUGAGGGUUGUUUAUUUUGCAGGAUGUUUAACCCUUUUCUAGCCAUUCAUCACAAAUGCAAAUUUCAUUCUUACAUUUUUGUGUCCAUCACUUGUGAAAAAGGACACACGUGAAUAUUUUGCCUCAAAUUUUCAUUCAAUGCAAAAUGAUAGUAAAGAGAACAUACUGUAAAUGUGAUUAGUCAGUAGAUUGACUAAUUAUUUACAGAAGUAGACAACAGAAUUUUAUUUUGAGGGUAGCAUUAAGGUAAUGACAUUUUUUGGGAACUGUUGGUUACUUACCAGUUAAUAUUUUAAGCAAGGUGAAAGUGAAGUAGGCUCUGUUUGAAAAAUACUGACUAAAUGUGUGGUGCUGUAUUAUGUUUUUUUAAUAAUCCAGUUCAAGUUAAA